rnacentral:lncRNA from 1 species
AAAAAAAUAAGAUAAAAUAAAACAAAAUAAAAAAUUCAGGAAAUGGGUUCAAGAUAUUUUUUUUUCUUUUUGUUGAAUUUUUUUAGUAAUUUAAUAUAACCAGGAACCUGUUGUAGUGUCCCAAUCAUAGGAACUUUAAUCUCGAAUUUCUUGAAGAUUUCCAUGAAACGCUCAAACUUUUUUUCCUUUUUCUUCUUAUGAUCUUUCUUUGGGUGAGGAAGGGAUUUUUCAUAUGAUUCUUUCUUUUUGCUUUCAUCCUUCCCCUCUCUCUUUUUCUCCUUGGGACACUCCUUAGGGCACAAAGGACUUUUCUCAGUUUUUUUCUUUUCUCUCUCAACCCCUUCUUUUUCUUCCUCUACAUCCUUCUUUUCUCACUCAAACAUUCUUUUUCUUCUCUCUCUAUUUUUCUCUCAUCCUCUUUCUUUUCUUCCCUCUCUUUUUCCCUUUCUUUUCCCUCACUUUCUUCCUUUGCUUUUUCUACUUCACCUUUUUUCUUUUUCACUCAACCUUUGUUUUUCUUUUCUCUCAUCUUCUUCCUUUUCUACCUCUUUCUCUUUCUCACUCAAACUUUCUUCUUCUUCUCUCUCUAUUUUUAUCUCAUCCUCUUUCUUUUCUUCUUCUUUUUCUCUCUCCUCAUCUGACACCUUUUCAAUGACAACAUCUUUGCAUUCCUUACCAUUGUCGUCUCUCAAAUAACUCUCAAGAUUAUCCAGCUCUUGAAUUAUGAAUUUACACUAUGCCUUCAUCCUUUCGGAUGCUACUUGAGUGCUUUCCUGAAUUGCAAGAAAUUCCUACUUGAACC